AAUUGCUUACCCUGCCCUUGCUUUUCCAGAGCAGUGAGUUUCUGCUUGGAAGACCCAGAAAAGAUGAAGUGAGCUAAGAACUUAUGUUAUAGAACAUUAGGAAGGACCGUGAGAAGAGUCAAAAUCCUUCCGACCACCAGAUUGCGCUUCCCAAGCGCUGGGAUUACAGAUGUGAGCACCACACCUAGCUUCUCGCUGAUUUUAGCAAGCUCAUGAAUAUGGAGGCUGGUGACCAGACACCCUAAUUUGGAGCCACUGAGGCAUCCGAUCCGCUAUCCCUGAAGCCCAGCGUUCAGGGCUCCCAGGUCU
rnacentral:lncRNA from 1 species